AGUCCGUUCCAGUGCCUGACCACCCUUUCUGAAAAGUAAUACUUCCUAAUGUCCAGCUUGAAUCUCCCCUGCCGUAGCUUGAAACCAUUCCCCCUGGUCCUAUCACUAAUGAGACGAGAGAAGAGGCCGACCCCCAGCUCACUACAACCUCCCUUCAGGAAGUUAUAGAGAGCAAUGAGGUCUCCCCUGAGCCUCCUCUUCUCCAGGCUGAACAUUCCCAGCUCCUUCAGCCUCUCCUCAUAUGGCCUGUGUUCCAGACCCCUCACCAGCUUUGUUGCCCUCCUUUGAACACGUUCCAGGGCCUCAAUAUCUCUCUUGCAGUGAGGGGCCCAAAACUGGACACAGUACUCGAGGUGCGGCCUCACCAGUGCUGAAUACAGGGGAACAAUCACCUCUCUGCUCCUGCUUGCAACACUGUUUCUGAUGCAAGCCAGGAUGCCAUUGGCCUUCUUGGCCACCUGGGCACACUGUCGGCUCAUGUUCAGCCGAGCAUCAAUCAAUACCCCCAGGUCCAUUUCCUCUACGCAGUCCUCCAGCCACACCGCCCCAAGCCUGUAGCGUCGCCUGGGGUUGUUGUGGCCGAAGUGCAGGACCCGGCAUUUGGCCUUGUUGAAACUCAUCCUAUUGGCUUCAGCCCAGCUCUCCAGCCUGUCCAGAUCCCUCUGUAGGGCCUCGCUACCCCCAGGCAGAUCCACACUUCCAGCCAAUUUGGUGUCAUCUGCGAAUUUACUGAGGGUGCACUCGAUGCCCUCAUCGAGGUCAUCAAUAAAGAUAUUGAAGAGGACAGGCCCCAGCACCGACCCCUGGGGAACACCACUCACAACCGGUCGCCAGCUGGAUUUGACUCCAUUUACCACCACUCUCUGUGCCCGGCCCUCCAACCAGCUCCCUACCCAGCCAAGAGUCAAAAUAAGAGCACAUCUCUCUGAAGUUACUGAUACAGAAUGAUGGGGCCCUGCUCACCUCUUACAUGAUAACUUCCAGUUUUAUUAUCAAAACUUACUUCAGGAUUUGCUGAAAAAUUCUGUUAGAAAAGUGUAACCCUUAAAUGCUCUUAAAUUGUAUAUACUUAAAUAAGAAAAACACAGGGUUUGGUUCUGCAUUGACAAUGUAUCAUACUGUGUAAAACAAUCUGUAGGUUGGUGGCAGCUGUAUGUUCAAGAUGACAUUAAGGAAAACAAAAGAAAACUACAAAAAAAAAGUUCAAAUUAAAGCACUGUGAAAGUGGCCGAUAAGGUUGUUCCUUAUUAUAAAGAGCUGCUAGCCAGAGACAAGAAAUGCUGAAUCUCAGGAACCUAGCAAACAAAAGCCUAAUUUAGCAUGCAGUGGAGUAGUUCAACAGCAGAGAUAGCCAUCUGAUGGUGUUUUAUACCCAUGAAAAUACUUCACUGUUCAUGGCUCAUCCAGUGCUAUUAAUUAAUGAUUGUAAUCAUGGAGAUAGAAACGUCCUCAUAGAGUACACAUCAGAGAAGGUAAGAACAUCUGGAUGUUUUGGCAGCACUUAGGUGAUGAAAAUGAGUCAUUAAAGCCAUACCUUUUGAAAUGAUACUACCAUGCUGAAAAAUACCAUGCUAUUACAGGAUAAUCUGAAUGCCAAUAACAUAGAAAUAAACCAUCUGCAAAUUGUCCCAGAGGAUGUCCAGGUGCCUAAGCCUAGAAACACAGCCAAAACACUGCUGAAAGUUGGACUCAAGGUCUGACCUGCUGUGGGUGUCACUGGACUUCAGAUCUAGGCCAGAGUUCUGGUUUAAACCUAGCAAGACUAAGGGAAAAGAAAAAAAAAAGAAAAAAAGAAAAGAUGAGCAUUUAGGAAGGUUUGAUCUGACGUGCAUUUUCACAGCAACCAAACACAUACCUUAGUAUUUGUUUUUAAAGAGGCAGUGGGAAUCAUACACUCGAAAGCUAAAGUGCUGGAGCACACAUCCAGGAGACAGUUCCCAUCACUCAUGCUCCCAUGGGAGCUGAAACUCAACCCAAUGGAGCAAAAUAUGCCUUGCAUAGGAGACCAGCCAGAAGGAAAAAAUAAAAAAUUAAGCCUUCUAGACUUAACCACAGUCCCUAUGCUGGGGCUGGAUCCUCAUCCCCAUCCCUACACACCUGCCCAUGAAAAAUACUGCUAAGCAUCUUAGAUUCAGGCAAGAGUUUGCUCACAGUGAUAGUGGUCACUGGCUAGAAGAUCAGCCCUAAGGGCUUUGUGAGAAAGGUGUUACUGUGACAACUACUGGAAAGCAAUUUCUCCGUGUUGGUUUUAAGACAUUUGAAGAAAGUAAUUAACAGUGUCUUGCGAGGACAAAACAACUUCAUGUGUUUGGAAGCCUGAAGGGGUGUCCUUCACUAUGUGCUGCCCUGAGGACAACACUUUAGAGCUAACAGUGCACAACAAUAUCCAUAUUGGAAGUUGAGAAGCAUUGGAUAGGAUAGGUUCUAGGCAUCAGGGAGAGGUAAACCAGAGGCAGAAGGCAACAAGGCAGAAAGAGCAGGGUCCUUCAUGACAGUAACCAGAACCAGUCAGCACCUAGAGCUUACCUGACAGUUCAUCAUGAUAAAAGGCAGGUCUGGAGUCAAGUCAGCUAGGGACGCAGCAGGUAAGGUACAAAGCCAAGCACAGAACAGCUCAGCUCAGCAAAAGGACUUUACCAAAGCAUAGCUUCUCCACAAACUGAAGGAUGGAGACUUCACAGAAUCUUCUGAGUUGAAAGGGACCUUUAAAGGUCAUCUAGUCCAACUCCCCCACAGUAAAUAGGGACACCUACAGCAAGAUCAGGUUAAUCAUAGAAUGGUCUGGGUUGAAAAGGACUAUAAUGAUCAAGUUUCAACCCCCUGCUGUGUGCAGGGUCACCAACCAGCAGACCAGGCUGCCCAGAGCCACAUUCAGCCUGGCCUUGAAUGCCUCCAGGGAUGGGGCAUCCACAGCCUCUGUGCAACCAGUUCCAGUGCAUCACCACCCUCUGUGUGAAAAACUUCCUUCUCUCAGAGCCUGGUCCAGCCUAACCUUGAAUAUCUCCAAGAAUGGUGCUUCCACCACCUCUCUAGGCAAACUGUUCUUUCUUACAUCUCUUCCAGUUCAGCUGAUUUCAUGGCAGUCACACCCAAGGUCAUGCAGCUGUGCCAUAUCAGUAUUGCAAAUCAACACCUGGCAGGUGGUGGGAUGAGGCUGCUGAUUAGAAUUACUGACAAAGAUGGCUAAAUGGAGAAAAUAGAGCCUGUUGUUACAUUCAGAGCACUUGGAGCAUCCUUGAAUGUGACUAUGGUCCUUUCUAUUACAAAAUCCUCUAUAGAUGUUGGAGGACUUAAGGAAGAGUGUAGAAAGCACCAUAAGCAAAGUGCUUUGAGCAGCAGCCUUGAUCAGGAACAGCCUGGACCCUCCAUCCAGCAACACUGAUGACUCCUUCAGCUGAAAUUGAUGGUAGAGAUCCCCAAACACAUCCCCUAGAAAAUACAUGUAGAUGAGCCUGUCUAGCACAUGAGCAAAUUAUGACCUACGGGAAAAGAUUAUUGCUGUUCUAGCUUCAGGUGCUGUUUCUGAAGGAAAAGAAGGAGAUAAAGUUAGUAAUUCCUCAGGUUUCUGAGUUGGUGCUUUCUCUCCUCUUCCUUCAAAACAGAUCAAGUGGAGAAUUAAAUUGUACUCCUGUUGAACCUUUCCUGCAAGCUCAGCUGUUGCUGAUGAUGGUACUUCAAUGCCUGAUCCUAAGCUGCUGCAGCAAAAACUCCUCCCUGAGCUAGCAGACCUAUAAUACCAGCAUUCAUAUGUGAAAUAUUUUUUUUUUUAAUUUAAGCUCAGCCUUGUUCUUUCCAAGAGCAGUAGACGUGCCUUUGCUUAUCUGCCUGUUACUGCCCUGAGCAAAACCCCAGCUACAAAGUGCUCAUUACACUUUUACAUUAACAGCAGGAGUCACUUUUGUCAAGGGGUUAAGGAAAAAGAUUGUUAAAAUUGUUUAAAUACGGUACUAAUUAGUUUAGAUGUAAUGAAACAGCAUUAGGCAUCCGGUUUCUUUGCAAGGGAUUGUUGGAUAACCAUUUCUGCCGACGCUGCAAUUUGCAUAAUGACAAGGUGUUGGCAUUGCAUCCACCAUUAAUUUGCUAUAUUUAUAAUGCCAUUAUGGAUCCACUCUUAUUCACACACACUAUAAAAGAUAUAUCGAAACAUAAUACACAAUUCUGCUUGUUUGGAAAUUGCUUUUGGAUAUCUUUGAUUUUCUGUAAUAGCAUUUUUGUCACUUGAAUGCUAACAGCACCAGGAGGAGAUUUGCCACACACAGUUCUGAGCCCUGAAAUUCAAUAUUGCUUCCAAGUGGGCAUGAGCCUUUAUUUUCCUGAAUCCUGAAGAAGGGGAAAGUGGAAGCAUGAUCAGGAAUGCUCAAAGCAAAUGCAGUAUUUCAUCCAAACACUUAACUACAAGGUGCAUUAAGUCCUUUAAGUUCCAAACAUUCUUAAAACAUUACCAAAUCUUCAAUAGAUCUUAGCUAGGGCAGUUUGCUAUUAGCACUGUACAUCAACAACCAGUUGCAAAGCCAUACCAGCAGCCCAUCAAAAUGCUCCUGUGCUUUUCUUCCCCUAUGCAGUCUCUAGGGAUCAACUCAGAAGAAAUAAAGCUUGUCACCCUACCUAUGGUAAGGUGGAAGGAUGGGGAAGAGUCUCUCUGAGCUCAGUUGUGCAGGACAGGCUCUUCCACUGUGUGUUAUAGAAUCACAGAAUGUCCUGGGUUCAAAAGGACCACAAGGAUCAUCCAGUUCCAACCCCCUGCUAUGUGCAGGGUCACCAACCAGCAGACCAGGCUGCCCAGAGCCACAUCCAGCCUGGCCUUGGAUGCCUCCAGGGAUGGGGCAUCCACAGCCUCCUUGGGCAACCUGUUCCAGUGCAUCACCACCCUCUGUGUGAAAAACUUCCUCCUAAUAUCUGACCUAAACCUCCCCUGCCUCAGUUUAAAACCAUUCCCCCUUGUCCUAUCACUAUCCACUCUUGUAAAGAAUCUGUGGUUGUAAAACAAACAGGAAUUGGACGUUAAUUGAAAUACAUGUAGUAAGGCUAGAUUUCUUUUUCUGUACUGGGAAAGCAGUAGAUUAUAAAAGGGGUGAAUCUUUAUUGUGUCAAUCGUCUUCUCACACAUAUUUCUGUAACUUGCAGUUCUCUGUUGCAGUGUCAGCUCUCAAUGCUUCUGUAUAAUGUCACUGGUUUGUGACAGUGCAGAGAAGAAAAUACAGAAGAUAGUGAUAUUUUUAAAAUGAAGUCUAACACUUAAGGUGGGGUGUUGGUUUCAACUAGCUAAAGAUCUGUCAUACACCAAGUUUAAAUUAGUAAAUCAUAUACUGGACUUGGCAGAUGCUUGUCACAUUGCCUGAACCUGCAUGCCCAGACUUCUGGGUCCUGGACAUGAGUUGGUCUGUGUCCUUGGUGUUUUCCUGUAGGUUCAGGGUGCAUGCAGAGGAUUUCUCCUGAAUGGGCACUGUAGUCUUAUCAGCUCUAGAUUUCUAAUGCUCGGAUAAGCUCAAGCAUUGCUUUGAGGCUUUUUUUGUAUGAUGAAUCCAUGUGCCUGUCAUACAGUGUCAGACAUGGAGAAAGGGCUCUUCCUGCCAGGGUUAUUUUCACCGUGACAGCCAUCAUUCUGUCCCCCAAGUUGUGCAGGUAAUGUGACCAUGUGCAGAACAGGAAGGUCAGAAACAAACAAA